rnacentral:misc_RNA from 1 species
GAUGAAGAACGUAGCGAAAUGCGAUAAGUAAUGCGAAUUGCAGAAUUUCCGUGAGUCAUCGAAUCUUUGAACGCACAUUGCGCCCCUUGGUAUUCCGAGGGGCAUGCCUGUUCGAGCGUCAUUAUAACCCCUCAAGCUCGGCUUGGUGUUGGGGCCUGCCGCACGGGCAGCCCUUAAAAUCAGUGGCGGUGCCAUCUGGCUCUAAGCGUAGUAAUUCUUCUCGCUAUAGAGUCCCGGUGGAUGCUUGCCAUUAACCCCCAAUUUCAAUGGUUGACCUCGGAUCAGGUAGGGAUACCCGCUGAACUUAAGCAUAUCAAUAAGCGGAGGA